AAACCGCUUAGGGGUUAAGCCCGAUGAACCUGAAUAUCUGAAAUAAGAAAUUCAAUACUAUUUAGUAGCUUAGGCAAACAAUGGUAUGCACUUUUCUUAAAGUAAGACAUUGCAAUCCAUUAGUAUAUCUAUUUAUAGAUGGUUUAUCAAACGGCCCGUAUAGUUUGUUUAUUCUAUCUGUGACACUUGUUGUCAUAUGAAUAAUGCUAUUGCGGUGACCUGGUAAACAGCUGAUGGAGUUUAAAAAUCAUGCAAACAUGCAUAUGUAUCACGGUUUGUGUAUUUUUAAUAUAUAAAUAUAAGUGAUAGCAUGUAUUUGAUUAGCAAUGCGAUAGAUUUAGGAUACCUUCGGGACCCGUCUUGAAACACGGACCAAGAAGUCUAACAUGUAUGCGAGUCAUUGGGUAUUUGUUGAAACCUAAAGGCGUAAUUAAAAUAACUAUUUUAAUGGGAUUACAAGUGAUUUAAUAUAUUGCUUCUCCAUCCCGGGGCGUUCUAUACGAACAUGAUUUAAGAAAUUAGAUCCUCUGUUCAAGAGCGUACCUUGAGCAUACAUGCUGU
rnacentral:rRNA from 1 species